rnacentral:tRNA from 1 species
CAGAGAUUAGUUUAAUAAAAAUAUAAAUUUUGGGGAUUUAAGACGGGGUUAGCCCUAUCUCUGA